rnacentral:lncRNA from 1 species
CUUCUAUUUGUUCUAGGAUAUGCAGCAUUUCUAGAAUAGUUAUUUCUAGGUUGAAAACCUUUUCUAGGUGUCCUAAAAUGUUCAACGUUUCUUCUAGUGUUUGGUCUAGGAUAUGCAUCAUUUCUAGAGUAGUUAUUUCUAGGUUGAAGGCCAUUUCUAGGUGUCCUAAAAUGUUCAAAGUUUCUUCUAGUGUUUGGUCUAGCAUGCAUGUUGAUUCUAGGAUUGUUAUNNNN